rnacentral:tRNA from 1 species
AAGUAAGAAGCAAAUUUUGCAAUCAGUUUCGACCUGAUCCCAGAUAAAUCUAACCUUAUCCUUACUUU